GGCCACAUCAGGUUGAAACACCGGUUUACGUACAACCACCAAAGUUAAGCAACGUCGAGCCAAGUCAGUACCUAGAUGGAUGACCGCUUGGAGAUACCGGGUGCUGUAAG